UCAGACGAUGCGUCAUGCAUAUCAAUAAGCGGAGGAAAAGAAACUAACAAGGAUUCCCCUAGUAACGGCGAGUGAAGCGGGAAGAGCUCAAAUUUGAAAUCUUAAAGGGUUUCCCUUUACGAAUUGUAGUUUAAAGAAGUGUUUUCUGUUGAGGUUUUGGUAAAAGUUCUUUGGAAUAGGACAUCAUAGAGGGUGAGAAUCCCGUAUUUGACCUUUACUUUCAACUUUGUGAUACACUUUCAAAGAGUCGGAUUGUUUGGGAAUGCAGUCCAAAAUGGGUGGUAAAUUUCAUCUAAAGCUAAGUAUUGGCGAGAGACCGAUAGCGAACAAGUACCGUGAGGGAAAGAUGAAAAGAACUUUGAAAAGAGAGUUAAACAGUACGUGAAAUUGUCAAAAGGGAAGCGUUUGACACCAGUGUUGUUUUUCUGAAAAUCAAUUAAAGAACUGUUUAUGCUAAGCUGUUUAGACUUUAUCAGCUAUCUGUUUAGUUUUGAGUUUUUCUUUAAUGCACUUUUCAGUUAACAAGUCAACAUCGAAUUUCUUUUGCUGUAAAAAAGCUUGAGGAAGGUGGCUUGAGAUUCGUCUUAAGUGUUUAUAGCCUCUUGCCUAUGCAGUCGGAGAGAUUGAGGUCUGCAGCGUAGAUCCUUCGGGGCUAAAUGCAUUUGUGCUAAGUUAUAGCAUUUUAUAGACAACUUGUUGACUAUGAUUUGUCUUGUAGCUUACUCGCUUAUGUUAUUUUACCUACGCUUAGGAUGUUGAGCGCAUGUCUCUCUCU
rnacentral:rRNA from 1 species